GGCCUACCAAGACCGGGAUGGUUAGCUGGUCUGAGAGGAUGAUCAGCCACACUGGAACUGACACACGGUCCGGACUCCUACGGGAGGCAGCAGUGGGGAAUUUUGCGCAAUGGGGGCAACCCUGACGCAGCAACGCCGCGUGAGUGAAGAAGGCCCUUGGGUCGUAAAGCUCUGUCAAUGGGGAAGAAGUUAUUUGGUGUUAAUAGCAUCAUUUAUUGACGGUACCCAUGAAGGAAGCACCGGCUAACUCCGUGCCAGCAGCCGCGGUAAUACGGGGGGUGCAAGCGUUAUUCGGAAUUAUUGGGCGUAAAGGGCACGCAGGCGGUCCUGUCAGUCAGAUGUGAAAGCCCGGGGCUCAACCCCGGACGUGCAUUUGAAACAGCAGGACUUGAGUACGGGAGAGGAAAGGGGAAUUCCUGGUGUAGAGGUGAAAUUCGUAGAUAUCAGGAGGAACACCGGUGGCGAAGGCGCCUUUCUGGACCGAUACUGACGCUGAGGUGCGAAGGCGUGGGUAGCGAACGGGAUUAGAUACCCCGGUAGUCCACGCAGUAAACGUUGUAUGCUAGGUGUAGCGGGUAUUGACCCCUGCUGUGCCGCAGUUAACACAUUAGGCAUACCGCCUGGGGAGUACGGUCGCAAGACUAAAACUCAAAGAAAUUGACGGGGGCCCGCACAAGCGGUGGAGCAUGUGGUUUAAUUCGACGCAACGCGAAGAACCUUACCCAGACUUGACAUCUUGAGAAUCCUUUAGAAAUUUAGGAGUGCCUUCGGGAGCUCAAAGACAGGUGCUGCAUGGCUGUCGUCAGCUCGUGUCGUGAGAUGUUUGGUUAAGUCCAGCAACGAGCGCAACCCUUGUCUUCAGUUGCCAGCACGUAAUGGUGGGAACUCUGAAGAGACUGCCCCGGUUAACGGGGAGGAAGGUGGGGAUGACGUCAAGUCCUCAUGGCCCUUAUGUCUGGGGCUACACACGUGCUACAAUGGUAUGUACAGCGGGCAGCAAGCGUGCGAGCGCAAGCAAAUCCCUUAAAGCAUAUCCCAGUCCGGAUUGGAGUCUGCAACUCGACUCCAUGAAGUUGGAAUCGCUAGUAAUCGUGGAUCAGCAUGCCACGGUGAAUACGUUCCCGGGCCUUGUACACACCGCCCGUCACACCAUGAGAGUUGAUUGUACCCGACGUCAUUGGGCCAACCCUUCGGGGGGGCAGGUGCCUAAGGUAUGGUUGAUAAUUAGGGUGAAGUCGUAACAAGGUA
rnacentral:rRNA from 1 species